GACGAAUGCUGGCGGCGUGCUUAACACAUGCAAGUCGAACGGAAAGGCCCUGCUUUUGUGGGGUGCUCGAGUGGCGAACGGGUGAGUAACACGUGAGUAACCUGCCCUUGACUUUGGGAUAACUUCAGGAAACUGGGGCUAAUACCGGAUAGGAUCUCCUGCUGCAUGGUGGGGGUUGGAAAGUUUCGGCGGUUGGGGAUGGACUCGCGGCUUAUCAGCUUGUUGGUGGGGUAGUGGCUUACCAAGGCUUUGACGGGUAGCCGGCCUGAGAGGGUGACCGGCCACAUUGGGACUGAGAUACGGACCAGACUCCUACGGGAGGCAGCAGUGGGGAAUAUUGCACAAUGGGCGGAAGCCUGAUGCAGCAACGCCGCGUGCGGGAUGACGGCCUUCGGGUUGUAAACCGCUUUCGCCUGUGACGAAGCGUGAGUGACGGUAAUGGGUAAAGAAGCACCGGCUAACUACGUG
rnacentral:rRNA from 1 species